rnacentral:SRP_RNA from 1 species
GCCGGGCGUGGUGGCGGGCGCCUGUAGUCCCAGCUACUCGGAGGCUGAGGCGGGAGAAUGGCGUGAGCCCAGGAGGCGGAGCUUGCAGUGAGCGGAGAUCGCGCCACUGCACUCCAGCCUGGGCGACAGAGCGAGACUCCGUCUCAA